UUGCCUGCCCAGUGACAAUGUUAAACGGCCGCGGUAUUUUGACCGUGCGAAGGUAGCGCAAUCACUUGUCUUUUAAAUGAAGACCUGUAUGAAUGGUGAAACGAGGGCUUAACUGUCUCCCUUUUCUAGUCAAUGAAAUUGAUCUGCCCGUGCAGAAGCGGACAUAAAAAUACAAGACGAGAAGACCCUUUGGAGCUUAAGAUAUAAAGAUCAUCUAUGUCAAUGGGCCCCAACACGGCAACAAACUAAAUAGCAACUGAUCUUAAUCUUCGGUUGGGGCGACCACGGGAGAAAAUAAAGCUCCCACGCGGAAUGGGGUAAACCCUAAAACCAAGAAAAACAUUUCUAAGCAACAGAACUUCUGACCAUUAAGAUCCGGCUACACGCCGACCAACGGACCAAGUUACCCUAGGGAUAACAGCGCAAUCCCCUUUCAGAGUCCAUAUCGACAAGGGGGUUUACGACCUCGAUGUUGGAUCAGGACAUCCUAAUGGUGCAGCCGCUAUUAAGGGUUCGUUUGUUCAACGAUUAAAGUCCUACGUGAUCUGAGUUCAGACCGG
rnacentral:rRNA from 1 species